UACGGUAGGGACCAAGCGUUGUUCGGAUUUACUGGGCGUAAAGGGCGCGUAGGCGGCUUAACAAGUCACUUGUGAAAUCUCCCGGGCUUAACUCGGAACGGCCAAGUGAAACUGAUCGAAGCGUAGAGUGCAGGAAGGGGCAAGUCGGAACGUUCUUGGUGUAGCGGUGAAAUGCGUAGAGAUCCGGAAGAACACCGGUGGCGAAGGCGGCCUGCUGGGCAGUAGCUGACACUGAGGCGCGGACAGCGGUGGGGAGCAACAGG
rnacentral:rRNA from 1 species